UACGUAGGGGGCGAGCGUUGUCCGGAAUUACUGGGCGUAAAGGGCGCGCAGGCGGCUGGUCAAGUACUUGGUGAAAACGCCGGGCUCAACUCGGCGAGGCCCGAGUAGACUGAUCGGCUGGAGACUCUCAGAGGCGAGUGGAAUUCCCGGUGGAGUGGUGAAAUGCGUAGAGAUCGGGAGGAACACCAGUGGCGAAGGCGGCUCGCUGGGGGAGGACUGGCGCUGAGGCGCGAAAGCGUGGGGAGCAAACUGA
rnacentral:misc_RNA from 1 species